rnacentral:tRNA from 1 species
UAGGGAGACCUACCCAUUUAGAUAUCGAAAGCAAUGAGUAAAUAGAUACUAAACUGGUCUACUCUAGGUCGGUCGCAGACUUGAAGAAAGUCUUUCAAACUAUGAUUGGGUUCAUUUAAGGGCUAUUAGCUCAGGUGGUUAGAGCGCACCCCUGAUAAGGGUGAGGUCCCUGGUUCGAGUCCAGGAUGGCCCACCUGAAAGAAUUUUAGAUUUUAGAUUUUAGAUUUUAGAUUAAAAAAACAAUCCAAAAUCCGAAAUCCAAAAUCCAAAAUUGUGGAUGGGGGUUUAGCUCAGUUGGUAGAGCGCCUGCUUUGCAAGCAGGAUGUCAGCGGUUCGAGUCCGCUAACCUCCACAUUGGAAAAAUUCAGCACCUGAAACUAUGAAAAUAGUACAGAAUGCUGGGUAAAUACCAGCCAGAACCUUGAAAACUGCAUAGUAACGCGAGGCAGUUCAGUAAUCUAGUGCUUUAGCAGCAGAUAACUGAAAUGAAAAAAAACCAAUGUUAAGU